rnacentral:rRNA from 1 species
AUUGAACGCUGGCGGCAUGCCUUACACAUGCAAGUCGAACGGCAGCACGGGAGCAAUCCUGGUGGCGAGUGGCGAACGGGUGAGUAAUAUAUCGGAACGUGCCCAGUCGUGGGGGAUAACGUAGCGAAAGCUACGCUAAUACCGCAUACGAUCUAUGGAUGAAAGCGGGGGAUCGCAAGACCUCGCGCGAUUGGAGCGGCCGAUAUCAGAUUAGGUAGUUGGUGAGGUAAAGGCUCGCCAAGCCGACGAUCUGUAGCUGGUCUGAGAGGACGACCAGCCACACUGGGACUGAGACACGGCCCCAGACUCCUACGGGAGGCAGCAGUGGGGGAAUUUUUGGACGAAUGGGC